ACGAACGCUGGCGGCGUGCCUAAUACAUGCAAGUCGAACGCUUCUUUCCUCCCGAGUGCUUGCACUCAAUUGGAAAGAGGAGUGGCGGACGGGUGAGUAACACGUGGGUAACCUACCCAUCAGAGGGGGAUAACACUUGGAAACAGGUGCUAAUACCGCAUAACAGUUUAUGCCGCAUGGCAUAAGAGUGAAAGGCGCUUUCGGGUGUCGCUGAUGGAUGGACCCGCGGUGCAUUAGCUAGUUGGUGAGGUAACGGCUCACCAAGGCCACGAUGCAUAGCCGACCCGAGAGGGUGAUCGGCCACACUGGGACUGAGACACGGCCCAGACUCCUACGGGAGGCAGCAGUAGGGAAUCUUCGGCAAUGGACGAAAGUCUGACCGAGCAACGCCGCGUGAGUGAAGAAGGUUUUCGGAUCGUAAAACUCUGUUGUUAGAGAAGAACAAGGACGUUAGUAACUGAACGUCCCCUGACGGUAUCUAACCAGAAAGCCACGGCUAACUACGUG
rnacentral:rRNA from 1 species